GCACUGUUGAGGAGUUCUACAAUAGGACGAAACGGCCGUUCAGUGU
rnacentral:hammerhead_ribozyme from 1 species